CAAAAAGGAAAAAAAAGAAGUAAACAACAUCCCGUUGCGGUUAUAGUCUGAUGAUAAGUUUUGACCCGUUUCACCCGACCCGUCUGGCAAUUGUCGCCACCAAUUUGGUUUUCCUCAUACUGUAACCUUUGUUUGGUUGGGUUGGACUCUUCCCAAUGUGGCUUAUUAAUUAUUAUAGCUUCCCUCGUCUUCAACCCAACCUGGUUUUCUACACAUGCACGAGAAUGAAUAGUGUUUUCGAUUAUUUAUUAUAUCAUCAGGCCAACUCGCCCCUCGAUAAUUGAAGAACACCGCCUGUGUGGCUUUUACUCAAAUGGGAAAAAAUAAAAAUUCGACGGAAGCUCUUUGGAGAUUCGAGGACUCUCUCUUUUCCUGAAUGAAGGAGGAGAGGAGAGUAACAAUCCAUGAGCACAUUCACGUUGGAUUGGGGACAAGCAAGCUGGCCUGAACAAGAGAGCAGCAGAUAUCUUGCUAGCCACAC